UACGUAGGGUGCGAGCGUUGCCCGGAUUUAUUGGGCGUAAAGGGCGCGUAGGCGGCUCGGCACGUCCGUUGUGAAAUCGCCCGGCUCAACCAUGGGCGGGGUCGGCGGAUACGGCCGAGCGUGGAGCAAGCUAGGGGGUAAUGGAAUUCCCGGUGUAGUGGUGGAAUGCGUAGAUAGUCGGGAGGAACACCAGUGGCGAAGGCGGUUACCUGGAGCUUUGCUGACGCUGAUGCGCGAAAGCGUGGGGAGCGAGUCGG
rnacentral:rRNA from 1 species